UACGUAGGGUGCGAGCGUUAAUCGGAAUUACUGGGCGUAAAGCGUGCGCAGGCGGUUUUGUAAGUCUGUCGUGAAAGCCCCGGGCUCAACCUGGGAAUUGCGAUGGAGACUGCAAGGCUAGAAUCUGGCAGAGGGGGGUAGAAUUCCACGUGUAGCAGUGAAAUGCGUAGAGAUGUGGAGGAACACCGAUGGCGAAGGCAGCCCCCUGGGUCAAGAUUGACGCUCAUGCACGAAAGGCGUGGGGAGCAAACAGG
rnacentral:rRNA from 1 species